rnacentral:rRNA from 1 species
GAUGAACGCUGGCGGCGCGCCUAACACAUGCAAGUCGAACGGUUAAAGCACCUUUUAGGUGUGUAUAAAGUGGCGAACGGCGGAGUAACACGUGGGCAACCUGCCCUCCUCUUGGGGAUAGCCUCGGGAAACCGAGGAUAAUACCCGAUACUUCAAUGUGGCCGCAUGACGACAUUGAGAAAGCUUUUGCGGAGAAGGAUGGGCCCGCGGCCUGUUAGCUUGUUGGUGGGGUAGAGGCCUACCAAGGCAAUGAUGGGUAGCUGGGUUGAGCGACCGACCAGCCAGAUUGGGACUGAGACACGGCCCAGACUCCUACGGGAGGCAGCAGUGGGGAAUCUUGCACAAUGGGCGAAAGCCUGAUGCAGCGACGCCGCGUGCGGGACGAAGGCCUUCGGGUUGUAAACCGCUUUCAGCAGGGACGAGGCGAUAAGUGACGGUACCUGCAGAAGAAGCCCCGGCUAACUACGUG